AUACGUAGGGGGCAAGCGUUAUCCGGAUUUACUGGGUGUAAAGGGAGCGUAGACGGUUAUGUAAGUCUGAUGUGAAAACCCGGGGCUCAACCCCGGGACUGCAUUGGAAACUAUGUAACUAGAGUGUCGGAGAGGUAAGUGGAAUUCCUAGUGUAGCGGUGAAAUGCGUAGAUAUUAGGAGGAACACCAGUGGCGAAGGCGGCUUACUGGACGAUCACUGACGUUGAGGCUCGAAAGCGUGGGGAGC
rnacentral:rRNA from 1 species